rnacentral:SRP_RNA from 13 species
UGGACGCCUCGGACCUGGUCUCCAAGGUUGCGUACCAGGCCAAGCAGGACAUGCAGCAGGCGAAGCAGCUCGCGAAGGCGGCGACGAGGAAGCUGUCGGGCAUGG